CCUGACUGCUAUCGGAUUGAUACUAAGCCAUGCGAGUCUUUGCAGUAAUGCAAGGCAUACGGCUCAGUAACACGUAGUCAACUUACCCUAUGGACGAGGAUAAUCUCGGGAAACUGAGCAUAAUACUCGAUAGAUCAUAAUGCCUGGAAUGGUUUAUGGUUAAAAUGAUUCGUCGCCAUAGGAUGGGACUGCGGCCUAUCAGCUUGUUGGUGAGGUAAUGGCCCACCAAGGCGAUUACAGGUACGGGCUCUGAGAGGAGAAGCCCGGAGAUGGGUACUGAGACAAGGACCCAGGCCCUAUGGGGCGCAGCAGGCGAGAAAACUUUGCAAUGUGCGAAAGCACGACAAGGUUAAUCCGAGUGAUUUCUGCUAAAGAAAUCUUUUGCAAGUCAUAAAACCACUAGUGAAUAAGGGGUGGGCAAGUUCUGGUGUCAGCCGCCGCGGUAAAACCAGCACCUCAAGUGGUCAGGAGGAUUAUUGGGCCUAAAGCAUCCGUAGCCGGCUCUGUAAGUUUUCGGUUAAAUCCAUGUGCUCAACGCAUGGGCUGCCGAAAAUACUGCAUAGCUAGGGAGUGGGAGAGGUAGACGGUACUCGGUAGGAAGGGGUAAAAUCCUUUGAUCUAUCGAUGACCACCUGUGGCGAAGGCGGUCUACCAGAACACGUUCGACGGUGAGGGAUGAAAGCUGGGGGAGCAAACCGGAUUAGAUACCCGGGUAGUCCCAGCUGUAAACGAUGCAGACUCGAUGAUGCAUUGGCAUAUAGCCAGUGCAGUGUCGCAGGGAAGCCGUUAAGUCUGCCGCCUGGGAAGUACGUACGCAAGUAUGAAACUUAAAGGAAUUGGCGGGGGAGCACCACCAAGGGGUGAAGCCUGCGGUUC
rnacentral:rRNA from 1 species